UGCUCUCACCACUUCCUCCCUCCCUCUCCGGCUUCCUUCUACCUCCCCUCACUCUCCCCCCUUUCUCGCCUUGCUCAGGGGGACUCGCUAUCUCUUUCUCUGUCUCUCCUUGGAACAGCGGCCCCCAAAAUGCAACUGAAGCCAUUUCCCUGCUCUGAGACCUCGGACAAGUCACUCCCCGCCAGGGCUGCAGUUUCCUGUCUCUAAAAGGAGUUGAUGAGCAGCUCUAGCUUCAGGGAUGUUUCCCGGACCGAGUGUGGCUUCAGAGUCAGAGAGAUGUGAGUUCAAGACCACUUGCUUAGGAGGAAGCAAAAGAGGAGGAGAAGGCAGAGGAAGGCGACGACUGAGAACAAAAGAAGAGCAGUGGCAAAGGAGUGAGCUCCAUGAGUAAUUUUUCAACUUAAAAACAAUUCCCAUUUCCCAGCCCUGCGGAGGCAGGCGCAGCGGAUCUGAGGCGAGGCCGGCCCUCUGACUCGCAGGAGCCUGCCAAGGGGCCCCGGCAAGCUGCUUCAAAGUCGGCCUCUUCAGCACAGGCGCUUUUAAACUUCACACGGGAAACUUUCCAGGGCUGACUUUUUGCACUUUGUUUCCAAAUCAAGAGAUGGGGAAGUCCCUCUCAGCCCAGCGGGGAGGCGAUCACACUGCGAGACUUGCCCUAGGGUUUUUGGCUUGGCACUGAGCUCCUCAAUAGGGCAAAUGGGCUGAUCCCCAGAUGUAGGGGUGUGGGGCCCUGUCCCCUGCCCGAAAUGGGUUCCCAGGAAGAAUUCAGGGUGUGGGCUUGGCAGCCAGUGCCCCCCUACCCCCCCUCCGUCCCCAGGGUCCCCAGGGGGGAUAAGGCCUCUCUUCCUGUAUCCUCCCAAGUCUGUUUCUACCUGGGUUCCAGGUGGCUUUUGUGGACAAGAUGCGACCACCUCAUGAGGAUCAAGAUGUACUCCUUGCUCUUCUCUGCACAGCAGUCUCAAAACUAGGCUACACCGUCUGUCUCCUCUGGUCACCAUUUUGAGAGGCAGCAAGGGUCUUCCUAACCCUCAGCUCCCUCUGAUUUUUGGAAUUCAGAUUUGGAUUUUGGAUGUACAUCAAGAGGCUGGCUCCACGCAUUUUAAUUAAGUUGUCUUUUUUCAUUUAUUACUAAUACACUCCUCUUAACUAUGAUUUAUUGGUUAAACAAAGCACCAUAAGCCGUCACUUAUUCAUCUUAAUUUCAACAAAAUUAAAGUAGUCGCUGUUAGAUUGCACCUAAUUGCACUUGCAAUGAAAAGAACGGAGAUGUUAA
rnacentral:lncRNA from 1 species